rnacentral:rRNA from 1 species
UACGUAGGGCGCGAGCGUUGUCCGGAUUUAUUGGGCGUAAAGAGCUCGUAGGCGGCUCAUUGCGUCAACCGUGAAAUCCUGCUGCUCAACGGCAGGUCUGCGGUUGAUACGGGUGGGCUGGAGUUCGGUAGGGGAGACUGGAAUUCCAGGUGUAGCGGUGAAAUGCGUAGAUAUCUGGAGGAACACCGGUGGCGAAGGCGGCGUUCUGGACUGUUACUGACACUGAGGAACGAAAGCCAGGGGAGCAAACGGG